AGGAGCGUAUCAGAUCAAGAAAAUUCAAUAACUUAGAAAAUAAUCGCUGCGUUCGGGACGCAGGGGUCGCAGGUUCGAAUCCUGCCACUCCGACCA
rnacentral:tRNA from 4 species